rfam:Mycobacterium sp. E787 contig_21, whole genome shotgun sequence.
CUCGGGCAUCAGCUGCGGGCAGAUCAGGUGCACGUGGCAAUCGAUGCCGCCGGCGGUGACGAUUUUCCCGUUGCCGCCGAUGAUUUCGGUGGACGGUCCGACCACCAGGUCCGGGUGCACGCCCGACAUGAUGUCGGGGUUUCCCGCCUUGCCGAUCGCGACGAUGCGGCCGUCGCGAAUCCCGAUGUCGGCCUUGAUGAUUCCCCAGUAGUCGAGGAUCACCGCGCCGGUGAUCACGGUGUCCGGCGCGCCGUCGGCCCGGCUGGCGCGCCCCUGGCCCAUCGAUUCGCGCAG